rnacentral:rRNA from 1 species
GGAGCCGUAGCGAAAGCGAGUUUUAACUGAGCGUUCAGUUACUUGACGUAUACCCGAAACCGGGCGACCUACCCAUGAGCAGGAUGAAGCGGAAGUAAAAUUUCGUGGAGGUCCGAACCCACGAGCGUUGAAAAGCUCGGGGAUGACGUGUGGGUAGCGGUGAAAUUCCAAUCGAGCCCGGAGAUAGCUGGUUCUCCCCGAAAUAGCUUUAGGGCUAGCCUCAAGGUGAGAGAUACGGAGGUAGAGCACUGAAUGUCCUAGGGGGUAUUGCACCUACCGAAGACUAUCAAACUCCGAAUGCCGUCAUCUUAUACUUGGGAGUCAGACUGUGGGUGAUAAGAUUCAUAGUCGAAAGGGCAACAGCCCAGAUCGUCAGCUAAGGUCCCUAAAUGUAAGUUAAGUGGUAAAGGAUGUGGGAUUGCACAGACAACCAGGAUGUUGGCUUAGAAGCAGCCACUCAUUCAAAGAGUGCGUAAUAGCUCACUGGUCGAGUGAUCCUGCGCCGAAGAUUUCCGGGGCUAAAACUUACUACCGAAGCUACGGCAUCAGUAAUGAUGGGUAGGGGAGCUUCCCAUACGGGUUGAAGCAUGACCGUAAGGACAUGUGGACAGUAUGGGAGUGAGAAUGUUGGCAUGAGUAGCGAGAUGUGGGUG